AGUACCAUGGGAUAUCUGCCCAGGCAGUGGGGUGUUUGUUUUGAGAGAAGCACAAUACUGGGUGAAUGCCACAAUUCAGAGAAACAAGUACUUUGGCCAACAUAAACAAUGCAGUUAUUGAUAUAUUUACACAGCCAAGGUUCCUGUCUUGAAUUGUCACCAUCCAUUGGACUCAAUUGCCUUUUCUUUGCUCUCCACCUCAAGUCACAGUGUUGAACCUGACACAGGAGCAGCUCUAAGAAGUCUGGUUGUUCAUCAUAAGCUUCAUACAUGUUGACAAAGAAGACACUGAAAAAACCUGGUACCAUGGUACCAGCAUGCUCAAGCCUAUUGCCUCCAGCAGUCCCACUUCUUCUCUGUGAAGGGCUGUGAGAAUCACCAAUACCUGCCCUUGCUCCAGCCACCUUGGAUAUCCCCACAAGCUCUGACUUCAUCUGGGGUCAUAAGGAGUGGAAAGGCUGAGAACACCCUGUCCUGUUUUCAGCUGGCUAGGAAGGAAGAUAAGUUGGGAAAGGCAACAGGAGCCCAUUGACCAGCUGUCUGAGGACUCAGCAGGCUAGUCCUUCAAAGUUUUUCCAUGAAGCCAGCAGCAGAGGAAGGGAGGCAUCAGCAUGGCACAGAAGCUGAGGUUCCUCAGCAGUGAGGCAGCAGUUGCGGUAAACAACACAGCAUGCUUCCAGGAAGGGACUUGCUCCCAGCAUGGACAGAUCAUCUCUGGAUGAUUGAGGACCAAUCCCAUAAUUUUCUUUGCAUAUAGCAUGAAAGAGAGCCCUAAAUGUAGCAAGGAAGUCUCCUCUUGCCCAGGUCCAUGCUCUGUUGGCCACCAUGUCCAGGAUGUAGUUCUCUCUAUGACAAACUUGCAGCCUAACUCCCCACAGAGCACUGCUCCUGAGUUCCUCCAGCUCAUUUUGCCUGAUUGACUCAGCAGUGCUGCAGUUGGUGUCAUGUUACACCCAGACGGUUCUGUCAGCAGACCAAAAACAGUGGACUUCCCAUCGAAGCACAAGCAAGCCAUAGGUGUCUGUGUGCAAACCUGGGCUUGUCAGAAAACAAGGCUGCCAUCAUGAUGCCACAUGAGAGUCAAUUCCCUCCCCAGUGAAUGGGGAGUGGGAUGCCACAUACCUGAAAGAAGAUGACAAGGGAAGCAACUACCCAUAUGUGAGACAGCAGGGAAGUAUUGCUCCAAAAGUGCUGACAAUAACUCCCACCUGAAAUAUUUUUAUACAGACAGAGCUAAAGAGAAAGUCUUUUAUAAAUUGUAAAAGAAGUGCAGGAGUAAUUAAUAAUAGAGUAAUAAAAUGGUGAAUGCUACUUCACGGUA